rnacentral:rRNA from 1 species
AUGCUUGAGACUGUUGAGCUCACAUUUGCAGAUUGUUCUCCCAUGUACCAGGCAGAAAUAGGCUUCACACGGAAGGGCCUAGUGGCUCUCAUUCAGUCUUGUCCGAUUCGUGUGCUCGUGCUAAGUGGUGCUAACUUCUUUAAUGACAAGGGAAUGAAGGCCCUCUCUUCUGCUCCAUUACUGGAGACUCUCGAGCUUGUGGAUUGCGAGGCUAUAACUAAUUUUGGGCUGGGUUUCAUUGUGCAUGCCCCAUGCUUGAUUAAUCUCACGCUCCGGCUCUGUGAAGGUGUGACUGAUGUUGGAGUAUCGAAGCUGGCACAUUCACAGAAGUUAGAGUCUCUGAUCAUUGAACGCUGUUGCUGCGUCUCUGAGCAGGCAGUGUGUGGGGCUGCCAGAUCAGUUCAAUACUCCGAGUCUGUACCCCUCAGCGAGCUAGAAAAAUUGUUCAUGGCUUCUUAG